rnacentral:lncRNA from 1 species
CCCACUCAGAUCAAUAAACAGGCUCAUCUGAUCUUGUGGCCCCCACCCAGGAAUUGACUGAGCACAAGAAGACUGCUUUGACUCCCUAUGAUUUCAUCUCUGACCAAUCAGCACUCCUGGUUCACUGGCUUCCCCCCACCCACAAAGUUAUCCUUAAAAACUCCGCUCCCUGAAUGCUCAGAGAGACUGAUUUGAGUAAUAACAAAACUUGGUUCUCCCACACAGCCGGCUCUGUGUGAAGUACUCUUUCUCCAUUGCAAUUCCCCUGUCUUGAUGAAUUAGCUCUGUCUAGGCAGUGGGCAAUGUGAACCCCUUGGGCAGUUACAAAUUUGGGGGCUCAUCCAGGAUUGCCCUUGUGGCUACCUGCCUGUGGUUCAAUGGCCCCCCUCCAGUGAUGGAUCCAGAAGCCAGCCCAAGUGGCCUCCUAGUUCUCUUGGACUGGCGGCUGACUCUGGUAUUCUUUCUACUGGCGUGGCACUGCUGACCCAAUGUGCAUGAAUUUAAUUGCAAUGGAGAAAUAGUCCUGGGGAGAUGUCCUUUAACUGUUGCCUUAUCACAGGGUGACUGUAGCCCCAUGGUGGGGUGUCUGUCUGUAGCCCCAUUGCAGGGUGUCCAGAUUGGACACAUUUGGAGAAACUGGUUAUUUUACCAAGGCUUUAAGUGAAAUGGCACGCUUCCUUUAAAGAAUCAAAGUUGACUUAUAAAGCCAAUUAAAGCCCGUUGGGGAAUCUGUUCUCAUACCUUGUUCACAAAGUCCCUGUACAAGGUUCCUGACCUGUGGUAAGUAAAGAAUGUCACUUUAUAACAGGGCCAGGAACCCCAAGUUAUUUUGGGACCUCAAGAGAAGAGGAAUUUUCCCACCUCAUAGGUAUUAAAGGGUAUAAACCCAUUGCUGGGCUCAGCUUUUAAAAAGUAUUAUCUAAAGUUCUUAACAGAACAGAGUUCUAUCAAAGCCAAUUGAAAAAGCUUACAUGAAAAAUAAUUACUCUUGCUGUACUUUAUGCAAAUAAUCAGGCCAAGUACAGUAAGAGUAAAAUUCAUUUUAUAAACAAACCAUUUCUUGAUUUGUUUUUAAUAAAAAUGAUGACUGGAGAGAGAAAAAUUAUGAUUCAAAAGAAAAACUAUACUACACUGUUGUUAGCUGUUCUUGAGGUUUUUUCUGCAGUUUAAACUAAAUUCUAAAUUCUUUGAGGGUUAGAAGCAAAUCUUUGCUUUUAAAACUGGUAAUUGUACUCCUAAUCCUAGCCCUCAUUAUUUACCUUAUAGUAGGCUGUUCACUUAAACACUGUAGUAAAACUAUAAAUAAGAGUACUGUUUCUGCCAUGCAAACCUUGAAAGCCCAGCCAGGCCUGCAUGAGUACGCUCAGACAGUUGCAAAGCAGUUCCACUCUUCUCACCUUGGGGUUCACUCCCAUUCCCACUACAUCCCCUGUCAGCAGGAAGAAGCCAGAGCAAUCAAUGGCCUUGUCCCAUCUUCACAGCCUACUCCUUAAGAUUAAGGUGUUAUAAAACCCAAGGGAAGGACUGAAACGGCCUUUGCAAAAUUAUGACCGAGACAGCGAAAGAGAUCUAACUUAACUAACUCCAUCUUGCUUCUAACCUCUAAGCUGUCCUUGUUCAUUCCUGGGUGUAGGCUGAACUAACUUUGGAAGAAACUUAGUUCAUAAUUUAAACAAAGACAGUAACAGCCCUUUCCCAAAGCAGACCUCCUUCUUGCCUGGGGACUAGAUUGCCUUUGCAGGACUAACAUUAGCCAUAAGAUGAGAAAUUAUGGUUUAGGAGUCAUGCAGCUGGAGGCUACAAGAUUCUGACCCUCCCUAAACUGCUCCUAAGAUCAGUGCUUGAGAUAUUUUGCAGACCCUGCACUUGAUGGAUCAGCUGGCCCCACCUAGAUCAAUAAACUGGCUCAUCUGAUUUUGUGGCCCCUACCCAGGAACUGACUGAGCACAAGAAGACAGCUUUGACUUCCUAUGAUUUCAUCCCUGACCAAUCGGCACUCCUGGCUCACUGGCUUCCGCCCACCCACAAAGUUAUCCUUAAAAACUCUGCUCCCUGAAUGCUCAGUGAGACUCAUUUGAAUUACUCUUUCUCUAUUGCAAUUCCCCUGUCUUGAUGAAUCAGCUCUGUCUAGGCAGCAGGAAAGGUGAACCCCUUGGGCAGUUACACUUGUAUCUUGGCUAGUUAAUAGGAGAAUCAGGAUCAAACCCUAAAUCUGAUGCUUCUUCCAAAACAAAAUAGUUGCCUCUCUCACAUUACAUGUUAAGUGUCCCCAAAAGUUAUGUAAAAUUAGUUUAGGGAAAUCUGAUUAUAUUUAAAACUGCUUUUAGAACUAGAUAUUUAAAGAGAAAUUUCUUUGAGUGAAAAGUCAUUUCAAUAGUAAACAGUUAUUGAUCACCUAUUAUCUAAGUAAGCACAGGAAUGAAGAAAUCAUAAAAUUUGGAUCCUGCUUUUAAGGAAUUUUAGGUCUAGCUGGGAAUAUUGAACAAUCUUUUGACAAAUGUUGUCUCGAUGCCAACACAUCUUGUACUGUUGUAGGUGGCAAAAGUUGAGUUUAAGGAAGAGAUAGUACUAGAAUUGACAAAGAAAGAGGAUGUGGGAUGGUAUGUGAGUGUGGCGGACAAUUUGUUAAGGAGAUGGGGUGGAUAAAAGGAAAUAUUACAAAGGAUUAGUUGACAAGAAUGGUGACUAACUGUGGGAGAAACGAGGAAGAGCUAAUUAAGGGUGAAAACAGCAUUUCAAAGCUGGGUGACUGAGUAAUUAGUAUCACUGCCAAAAACAGGAAAUCUGAGGGUGAACUGGUUUGGGGAAAAGCUGACACUUGUCUUUAAAUCUCCAGAUUCUGACAUGAUGACAUCUAAGCAGGGCAUUCUGACACAGCCUGGGGCAGAGAUGAGAUCAGAGAUGAAAUGAGGCUGACAAUUGCACACAUUACUAAGUGUUUUAAAAGCUUAGAAGUUAAAUGACUUGCUCUUUAGGCUCUGUCACAGUAGCCCUCAGUUAACAUGGUCCUUAAUAUCAUAUAUCCAAUGAUAUUCAGAUGAAUAUGUACAGUAGGCCAUUGGAAGUGCAGGGCUAAAAUUUAGUACAGGGGGCUGAACAUUUACUUUUGGGUGUAUUCUAUGUGGAAACGAUGACUGCAGCCAUGAGAGUGGAGGAAAUCUCCAAUGGAGGGUAGGCUAAGGGAUGCAGUCUAGGAUGAAACCAACCUUUGGGAUUGAAAGGAAUAAGUGGGUCCAGAGAAAAGAGAGGUCCACCUGCUAGAAAGGGCACCACAAUAGUGCAGGUUAUGGCAGCCAAGGAGAAGGACAUUUCUCAGAAGGAAGGGGUAAGCUACAGUGUGGAAUGCUGUAGACAUAACAAGGAAAUGGAAAUGUAGAAAGGACCACUGGAUUUGGAGACUGAAAGGAAGGUCAUUCAUAACUUUGCAGGGGGCACUGCUAUGAGUAGUGGGGACGGAAGCCUUAUCGUAAGGGGCUGGGUGGGGGGAAGUUCAAAGUAAUAAAGAAGAUGGUAGUUUGGGGAGUAGUAGCAACAAGUAAACCUUUAGGUUGAGCAAAACCUAGGAAUGUUAGAGGGAAGGGAGGGGUGAAGAUUUUGGAAAACAGACUUGAUGAAGCAAAGUCUCCACUAAGGAAGGAAAAAAUGGGAUUAAUCACAGUUGUUUUCAAAGAAGGAGGGAGAAAAGAGAUAGGUAAAGAUGGAAGGACAUUUUGGGAAGUUACAGUUGUGGCCACAGAUACGUGUUGAGGUGGAACGGAAAUAACCUAAAGUGGUAAAAUAACAUAAUGAGGGAAAUUAACUUGAAUUUUCCCUGGAAAAUGAGUCAAGAGGUUCCUGAGACUAAGUAGAUUAAGGGCGGGGCUUGAAGAGGGUAGGAAAAGUCAAGGCCUGCAUUGUCCAAUACAGUAGCAAUGAGUCACAUAAGGCUACUGGGUGUGUGAAACGGGGCUAGUCCCAAAUGAGAUGUCCUGUAGUGUCAACUACAUACUGGAUCUUAGACUUAGUACAAAGAAGGAUGUAAAAUAUCUCAUUAAUUCUUUUUGUAUUGAUAUUUUGAAAGGCUAAUACUUUUGAUCUAUUAAUACAAUAUAUAAUCAAAACGAAUUUUACCUGUUUCUUCUUACUUUUUAAUGUGGCUAUUAGAAAAUUUAUAUUUGUGGCUUAUAUUAUAUUUCUAUUAAACAGUGCUGGUCUAGAAACAUACAAUAAGGCUUCAAAAAGGAAUGAAUAAAUGGACUGCCAAAAAGUGAAGAGGGCUUGGUUAAAGUCAAGGGUUUCUUGGGGAUCCAUUCAAUAGAAUUAGAUGCUGAAUGUUCUGAUCAAUGGGUGGUGGGGCUGGUCCAGGGCUGUGAAGAGGCACAAGGAGCAUGAUCAGAAGACUCUAAGGUCCAAGAGGACAGAAUUGAAAUGAACAACCCUGGGGUUCAGGCUGGGAAUGACGGACAGUCUAGAUGGCUGGUGACUGAUAGGCUGGGAGAGUGGCAAUGGCCAUGUGUGGUCAGAGUGCCAGGAAAUGGCCUGAAGUUCUGAUGAUUCAGUGGGAAGGGUAGGAGGUGAUGGGAUCAGAGAAGAGAAUUUCUGCAUUCCAAAUCUGCUGUGUAAAUGCCAAUUUUUCACAUUUUAAUUUUGCUUAGAGUGGUAUCAACUUGCGUAGGAAGCUUUAUACUACCCAAUCCAGAAAAGUAGGUAUUUGAAUAAAGUUUCCUUAGAACCCAAGUAAGAAAAAUAUAAGUAACCCUGUUACUGGAAUUAAUUACCCCCAGUGGUCUUCUGGUAUAACAAAAUAUGAUCAGCUUUUCUCUUUUAAUAUCCUCCUAAUGCAGAAAAGCCAGGCGAGAGUUUCAACAUCUGAGUAUACAUUAACUAAGAAUACUUACUAGGAUAGGCAUAUUACUAUAUUGCUUUGCCAGUUGUAAAAAUUAAAGCUACUUUGCUAAAAACUGAGGAGAAACACAUUGGCUUUGAAAUGAGAGAUCAGUGUGUCCUAUCAAUUUGAUAAAGGAACUGGGCUUGGUGAUCACCAUAGUCCUCAAACCACAGCUAUGAGCACACACACUGCAGCCUGCCUAGGACUGUCUUAGAAUAAAUUUGGCCAAAAGUGAAGUGGCAGAUUUGAAGAAUUCUAACAUCAAACCAGUGCUCCCCUUAUUUCUAGAAUCCAAUCAAUAACAAAAGAAGAAUAAGAGAAGUGAUCCAAGGUUUGAAUUAAUAGCUAAGUGGAAAUUAAAUCCUAUGUCAAAUUUCUAGAAAGAAAGUCCUUUGCUGUAGUCCAAAUUUUUGUUUUGGUAAAAAUACUUUAAAUGCAUUCAAAUGGCCCAACAGUGGCCACAGUAUUCAGAAAGUUUAUUAAAAAUGUAUGAACUGAAAAGACAAGUAGUGCAGCUAUUUAUAUUUUAUUUAUAAGGUAAAAUGUGACAUAAGCGGAUACUAUAAAAUAGCAAUAAAUUGUGCAUAAUUAUCUGCAUUAUGGUACCAUAUUCUUAACUGUGUAAUUUUAUUCCAUCUUGGCCCAGAAAAUACUUCAGGCAGCACUACACCACUUGCUAUGUGACAAAUUAAUGCUACUUUUUAAAAGGCCAAGUGAGGCCAGGCCCAGUGGCUCACACCUGUAACCCCAGCACUCUGGGAGGCUGAGGCGGGCGGAUCAUCUGAGGUCAAGAGUUUGAGACCAGCCUGGCCAACAUGGUGAAACCCUGUGUCUACUAAAAAUACAAAAAGAAAAUCAGCUGGGCAUAGUGGCACACGCCUGUGAUCCCAGCUACUUGGGAGGCUGAGGCAGGAGAAUCACUUGAACCCAGGAGGUAGAGGUUGCAGUGAGCCAAGAUCGAGCCGCUGCACUCCAGCCUGGGCAACGGAGCAACACUCCAUCUCUAAAUAAAUAAAUAAGUAAAUGCCAAGUGAGAAAAUGUGACAAGUUCCUGUUCAUUGAUAAUAUCAGCAUUUCAACAAAAGGACUGUUGAAAAAUGAUAUGCUGUUGAAAUUUAUUUACUUUUUAGCAAGCUUCCAAUGAUUUAACUACAAUAAUUGACUACUUUGUGGACAGAGUAAGAAGGCUAGACAAACCUCAGUUGUUUCCAACCCAGUGUCCAAAGAGGUGAUUAAGAGCCAGUUUUUUUCUGACUGAUUUUCAUGAAGGAAACAAAAUAUCACCACAAAAUGUUAACAAGAAAAAAUAGAAGUAAUUUUUCCUACUUUAAUCUUCCCUCGUUUGACAUUAAACUGGAGAAAGAAAACAGAAGUAGAUGUAAACAUAGAGACCUUCAAAGAUGACAUCUUCUAGUCAUGAGUUUCAUUUACCAAGAUAGUAUCCCACAUCAGUUGAAGGUUCACAUGGUAAUCUAGGAGCCCUGAGCCCAGAGGGAAAACUGCUGGCACGGACUUCUGCUGAUAAGACACCUUUGAUUUCAUUUUCCAGCCCUUCCCUCACACCUCCUAACUACAACCUAUAUGACUGUCAAGAGAAAAAUGCCAACACUAUUUCUAGACUCUUAAAUAAUUCUGUGGAUGUUUUGAAAGGAAAGACACAUUAAGCCUGGUGCUUUCUAUAGAUAGUAAAAGAGCAUAGCAUUUAAUCCACCACUUUAAAUGAGCUUUGGUGGAACAAAGGAAAAUGAAGGAUUUCAGUGUCAAAGCCACAGCCAACAGCAAUUUCUGCUGCUUUUCUUCCACGAGAGACAAAAGGAAUUAUACUAUUCCCGAAUGACUCCUCCUCGGGCUGGACUGAAGGCAAAAACUACUUUAUCCUUAUGGAGGGCUUAACAUUUUCCUUGGUUAGAAAUGAAUGUGAUUCCUGUUUGCUAGGUCUAACCACUAGGACUAGAACAUUCCCAUUCUUUCCAAGCUGUCAAGUUAACAUAAUGAUGUGUAAGCCCUUGGUCACCAUGGUGGGGUGGGCCUGCCCAGGAAGUGAAACAACAGGUCCUGUGAAUUUCAGACAGUUGGGCAAGCUCCUCCUCCUCCUAGACCUCUUGUAAAGCCAAGGCUCACUUGGAGGGAUCUUCACAGGAUAACCGGGAUCAAAGGAAGAGAUGGUCACAGGGAGGAAAAGACGGGCUUUGGAAAUGUGAUAGUUGAGGCAUGAAGAAAUAAUUUUGAGAUACUCAAGAAUGGUUGUCUUCAUGUACUAUUUCUUUAAGCUUUUUGACCUCAUCAAAAUACAAACUGUUCAUUUGGUCUAUUGGUCAUCAACCAUAAUUAGCCACAAAAUCUUAAGAUUGUGUCAUCCCUUCUUAAAACCCAUCAUUGUAGUGGAAUAGAAAAGAACCAGGAGGUAGACAGCUGUUGGUUCCUUUUUAAAAAAAAUGAAUACGUUUAAAAUUUGGGCCAAGAUGAUAACAGCAAAAAUAUUUCUUGAACUAAAAAGACAAAAGGAUUGAUUUCUCAUUGUACCUCUGUUCCAUUCAAUAAAAUAUUAUGUUCUUCUUGAUGCCAAUUAUCACCAAAUUUGAAAUUUGCCAAUCUGCAGUUUGGUGAAAUAUUUCUGAAGAAAGGGGAUAAAAUAUGACCACAUUUAAAGCAUUUUCUUUGUAAAAUGUGUAGAACUGCAAUACUUUCUAAAAAUUAAAACUUACAGUUGUGCUUUUCAUUUGUUCAACAUUAACACCAGCUUUGUCAAAGAGCUCAAGAGUAAUGCUGAGAUUAUGUUUUUUCCUUUGGCAACAUAUAAAAUAAGGAAGAAUUUAGAAUUUUAUUUCAUGAAACAAUAAGAUAACUUUGCUCAGCUUGAACUUAAAGAUAUAGCUCAAACAUACUUUGGAAAAAUAGAACACUAUACUUUUAAGUUGUAAAACUCCUAACAGUUUUCUUAUUUGAAAUAUAUGCUGUAAGUUUGGAAUAUAAUUUUAAUUAUCAAGAUUUAAAGUAGUUAGCAUUAUUAACUGUCACCUAGGCAGAAGAUGGCUUUUAAAGAAUCAUUAAUGUCAAAUUCCUAGCUUUCAAAUUAUGAGCUUAAUUAUAAGGCAGCCAUAUUUCUUUGAAUGGCUGUAUUUUCUUUUCUUUUUUUUUUUUUUGAGACGGCGUCUUGCUCUGUUGCCCAGGCUGGAGUGCAAUGGCGUGAUCUCAGCUCACUGCAACCUCUGCCCCCUGGGUUCAAGCAAUUCUCCUGCCUCAGCCUCCCGAGUAGUUAGGACUACAGGCGUGUGCCACCACGCCUGACUAGUUUUUGUAUUUUUAGUAGAGAUGAAGUUUCACUGUGUUGCCCAGGCUGGUCUCGAACUCCUGACCUCAGGUGGUCCACCUACCUCAGCCUCCCAAAGUGCUGGGAUUACAGGCGUGAGCCAACUGUGCCUGGCCUGUACUUUCAUAAGAACUAGAAAGGUGACAGUAUAUCAACAAUACAUGGGUGCAAACAUGCACACAACUUAGGAGGAUGAGAAAUUUGCCUGUGACAAACAUUUAAUUAUUUUCAAAAAGAAAAGUGUUAUUCUGAAAGCUAACCACUGAAGGCCCAACUCAUAAUAGAUCUGGUUUUCUUGGAUUCAAUGGAUUUUAUAAUUUAAUUCUAUUAUAAGGUAACUUAAAAUAUACCAAUUACUUCACAUUCUGUUCCAGAACAUAUUAACUGGUCUAAAGAUGAGAAAUAACUGUGUACAGAUUAUCAUUUCAAAUAUAAGGGAGGGAGGGAAGGAGGGAAAGAGAGACUUUUUAAAAAUGAUGAAGAAGGAAGGGCCUGGUAACUAUAAUGGACGAUGUCAUCCACAAUCCCUAUUGAUAUAUAGUAAUCAUAAUAUUUUUGUCAUAGAAUAUUAGGAUUAUCGUUUUUUAAUGAAACAAGUAUUCACAGAAAUCUGAGAACAAUAAUAGAUUUGAAGAUGUAAAUUUAGAUCAGUAUUUCGUCAACCUUUCUAACCCACAAUGAAUCUUUAAAAAAAAUGUUGGACACUGCAGAGUGUCCCUCUGUAGGGUCUAAAACUGCAACAUGUAACUAAAAAUGAUUCAAACCUUUUGAUGUUUAUCUAGUCUUUUUCUCAAUUUCCAGGAAAGAAAAGCUCAUAUAGUAAAGAAACAUGGAUCUGACGUUCCACAAUUCUUUCAGUUUCAUGUCCACUUCUUCCGUUAAAUUAUUUUAAAUACUUUUUGUAACAUAUUCAAUCUUAUUUUAUCAACACUGUUUUUGUUGCCUACCUAGCCCUUUAGUUUCAUUUUUAUGCAAUAUCUAGAUAAUAUUCAGCAAAUCUUAACAACGAUUAACUCUGGGUGGUAGGAUUUUGGGUAAUUAGUGGCUUUUAUUUGAACUUCUCUUUGUACAAAUGAAAAUGUUCAUAAUGUGCCUUCCUCAUUUUUAGAAAAAAAUAAAGCCAUUAUUCCCCUCCCAAAGUUCGAAAUAUUUCCUUAAAAAGUUUUUCUUGAAAAUGUUAAUACAUUUUGAAAAAGAACUUUAUUUUUCAAUGGAGUGAUUGAUUACCUACAUUUGGUAUAUUAUCUGCAUAAUACGAGUUUUCUUUCACUAAGGGGGAAAAAAAAUCCCCUUCUCCCCAGCUAAGGCAGUUUUCCCAUUGGAUCCCAUUAGAAUCUUUAGAGCCAGGGAGUCUGCAAUUGUUAAUAUUUACAUUGUAAUAUUUGUAUAAUACUUUAAUAAUAAUGGGUCUAAAUAAAAUGCUGAUUUUCAUAAAAGGUGAUAUUAGUCUGCCUUUAUGUAUAUGUGUAAAAUGUCUUUCCCAAAUACUAUUCCCAAAGGCAUGCUUUUUUUCAAUUACUGUGGCUAAAACAGAUUAUUUCCUCGGUGUAUUCUGGAAUGCUUAGCUCUUUAAUGUUUCAGACUAGCUCCUUUCAGAACAGACUAUCCUGAAGUGUUUCCACGAACACUGUAGACCAGCAUAAAAGUUUCAAAAUAUUUUAUAAAAAAAGAUUGCCUUUAGGUUAUGCUCUCUGGAAAGUGUUUCAUCUUCCAUCAAUAACUUACAUUCUGGCAAUCUGUAACUACAAAAUGCUGCCACGCAGAGUAAAGUGGGAGGUGACCUCUAGCCCCAGGCACACAUGUAUCAAUCAACCAUACUACUAAGCAUCCUGCCAGGUGAAUUUGUUGAGUACAGUGAGAUCUGGGGAGAAAAAAUGAUCUUUAGAGAACAAACAGAAUCAUGUGGAUGCAUGGUUCUAAUCAAACUUUGUUCCCCUAGUACAACACCAUUCGGAUUUGGGUAGUACAGUCGAAGUGUUAAAAGAAUAGGCUUCAUGAUCAUAAUGUUCUGUGUUCAGAACCCAGUUACGUCCUGGGGCAAACUGCUGCCCCUCUCAUUCUUAAAUCCCUUAGUUACCUCCUUUAUAACAUGAGAGUAAUAAAAAAAGUCUCACGGAGGCUUAAUUAAAGCAGGUAUGUAACAAGAACUUAGGACAGCACCUGGCACGUAGCUAAUAUUUACGGAGAAUUUAGAAUGAUGAAUUGAUGAUGGUGGUGAUGACAGUGACAACCAUGGUAUAAAUUGGUCAAGAUCAUGGCCUUGCUGCUAAAUUUUGUUGUAUUUGUAAAGGUUAGAAUGUCUGUGAAAAUAUCUCAGAUGAGGUAGAUGAGAGUUCACUUUCUCUAACUUAGUGUUAGUAAGAUAGGCAGUGAGUGCUGAGAUGGGAGGAGUUAUGGAUUUGAAGCCAAGAGAAUCACCUUUUACUACACAAUCUGCUACCAAAAAACCUUGGGCAAGUCAGUUAACUUCUGAGCCUCAUAAUGUCCAAGAGUAAACUGAAAAGCUCAAAUGAGAAGACGUCUGGCAAAAUGAAGACUUGUAAAUGUGAAGGGGUUAUUAAGCCUACACAAUCACCAUUACAUAGAUAAUUUAAACCUUUAGAAAAAUCAUUGAGGAAAAAGCCAUCAACCUCAGCGGCAGAAGGUGGAGCAGUGGGAAGUGAGGGUCUCUGGAGACAGCCCAGGCUUGCAGCCAGCCUCUGGCAUUACUAUCUGUGUGCCCUUACCAAAGCCUCAGUCAUCCCCUCCAAAAUGAGGACAAUAAUAAAACUUACACCACACAGGUUUUGUGGGGACUAAAUGUAGUAAUUCAAACAAACCACUCAGUAAAGAGUCCUGUAAAUUGUAGGAUGGUACUGAUCUGUAAGAUUGUUAUCUAUACAGGUGUUUUGCUAGGUUGUCAUUUAAUUCUCAUUUUGUUUUCACUGAGUAGAAUGUGCUUUGAUUUAUUAACCAAUAUUUGGUGGUAGUAUAACUUUUUAAAAUUAGAAGCAGAAUUGGUGUGAUGUAGUAUAUAUAAGGAGGACUUUAGCCUCCCUUUCUUUAAACAUUCUUGUCUGUAGCUGAAAUUAUAUAUGUUGAUAAGGUUCCUUCUGCAUGUGCACUACAGUGUUUAUGGCACACUAUAAUUAGUUUCAGUGGAGUCUUCAUGAAAUAUUCAAUCUGCUGCAAUUUCUCCAUGUAGUAUUUAAUAACAUGAAGAAAACCUAAAGCUCACAUUAUUUCCUUUCCAAGCAAAACUUGUCCCUCCUAAUCCUUCUGGAGGACAUCAUCAACAGUGUUGCACUGACCUUUUUCCACUGCAUUCACAGCUGCUUCUAGAUCACACCCAUUUUUUUUUUUUAAAUUGGUAUCCUGGACCUCUGCUGGUCUAUGGGUUUGGCUCACUAAGAAUUAUUACACACCAUGCCGGGCAUGGUGACUCAAGCCUGUAAUCCCAACACUUUGGGAGGCUGAGGCAGGAGGAUUGCUUGAGGCCAGGAGUUUGAUACCAGCCUGGGCAACAUAGUGAGACAACGUCUCUACAAAAUAAUAAUAAUAUUCCAGUGACUUCAACCCUGGUUACAUAUUAAACUCACCUAGGGAGCUUUUCAAAAAAUACUGAUGCUCAGCUCAAUUGAAUCAGAAUCUCAAAAGGUGGGGCCCAGGCAUCCUUCGUGGUUUUUAAAGCUUCCCAGGUGAUUCUAAUGGGCAGACAGGGUUAAGCACAACUGUUUUUGAUAAUAAGGGAACUAAAGGGAAGAGGAUACACUAAAAAUGCUAAACAACAACAACAACAAAACCUCAAUGUAGAUUCUGUUAAGGUUAAAAGUUCUCACAGUGAGGAGAAAAAAAAGGAAUAAUUCACUCCUUACAAUUUCUCUUUUGUGCUCAUAAGUCCUCCCACCCAGUUACUUAUUAGUCAAUUUUCAAGAUAAUGGAUUUGUUCCAUCUAACAAAAGGAAAUCAAUGGUACUAAAGAUGACCAAAGGUCGCUGAGUAUAAAAGAUUCUCAAUGAUCUUCAAUUAAUCUUCACAAGUAGCUCUGCAUCAGAAAUGAAAAAUUAUUGUCUUCAAUGGCGAAACUAUGACAUUUUGUGUUAAUUUCUAAUGAUAAAAGUCCAUGUGUUUUUUUAAAACCUCGGAGACAUAAACUGAGGCAACCGAGUCAAACCGCAUAAGAUUGUGAUGAAAUAGAUUAAGAUAUUUAAUUCAUAAGAUUUUGUGAAUAUCUUAUACAAAUAGAAAAGAAAACCUGCCAUCUUUGGAUAUCUACUUUUGUUAAAAAUACUAGAAACUCAUAAUCAUGGUCUAAAAUCCAGUGUUUAUGUCCAACUAAAUUUGAUCUUAUACCAAGCCAUAGUUGUUUGUCAGGUGUGUAUAUCAAAUAAACUGGAUGGAUCUAAACACAGAACAAGAAUAAAAUGUUACAAAAUAUUUUCACAGCUGCCUUCUAUAUUGAACAUAUGUUCUUCCACGUAAUUGUCAUCAUUCUUCAAAACAUUGUGCCUCAACUGGCAUACAUUUCUUAUUUACUGGCUUUUAAAUUUAUCAGCUCCAUCGAUUUACUUUUGACAACGGUAUUUCCAACACUCACAUAAUUUGAAGUAGACGACUGUAUUUUAUGUCAUUGCCACCCAAUCCAACAAACAAGAGGCAAGGUAAGCAGGCUUUUAAUUCUGAGAUUUAUGUUUACUUUUUCUUAAAAUAUAUACCGAAGCAAAACCCUACAGAGGCAUUAAAGAUAAAAGGACAUCCUAUCCUUCCUGUGAUAUAGAAUUACAAGGGGAAGAUGCCAGGUUUUUACAAAAUCAGCUGCUGCUCCAGAGUAUUCUUGGUCUCCUGAGGGAUGCUGCAAAACCCUGCAGGUUAAAUUAAACGCGCCUUCUUCAGAACCAUCUUUGUUAAAUAUGAAAAGACACUACCUCCGACAAACACCCAAGUUACUACACACAAUUCAUUCUUGCAAAUUAUCUUUCUCCUCAUACUCUGUAACUGCAAGGUGAAUUUUAAUGUAACAAAGGAGAGAUGGAUGUGUGAAGUGUGAGGCUGAAUAAAAAUGGCUGAAAAGCAAUCCAAGCGAGGCUGGAGGGUAGCCACACCCAGUGCUAAUAUGGACUAUUCCAAAAUAAAUCUGUUAUACCAAGGGCCACGGGCACUGUUUCGUUCUUUCCCUCCAUUUAUUUCACAGAUACCUAUUAUUAAUAAAUAGUAGUCACAGGUUACUCCAAUGACAGAAAAAAACCCCAAAUAUUUCAAAGUGAACCAUCCUAAUAUGUGGCUACGCCAUCAUAUUUUCAGGAUUUCGAGAGCUAGUCUGCAUCUCCACUCUCCUUUGUGUGACCACAAAUAACAACCCUGAAAUGGGUGUGUCCCUCUUAAAAGGAUGCACUCCAGCCCUCUCAGUUAAUGGUUCUGCCAGGAGAUUUCAACCUUUGGGCAGAAAUAAAUGCACUGGGAUGCAUGGAACAAUAAGAAAGCACUUUAACUCCGGGGAUGAGAAAACAUUAAACAAGUACUGAAUGAUGCACAGAUCCCAAAAGAACUCCCGGAGGAGGCGAUUGAUGCAUUAUUUAAAAUACCAGCAUUACAACAAGAAAACAAAGGGGUGGGGGUGGGGUUAAAAAAAAAAAGAAAAAAACAACAACCAAGCACCAUCCAUUUUGAUUCUUGAAAUAAGAGGUUUACUACCCCCCAACACAAAGCUCUGGGGUAUAAAGCAUGCACAGGUCCCACAGGUGAAAUGAUGCACAAUGGACGAGUCCAGGUCCCGGGUUUCCCGUGCGCCUCAGGCAUGCACUACUGAAAUAAAGAGAAUA